rnacentral:rRNA from 1 species
AAGAGAAAGCAAUUCUCUCUGAAUCUGCGAACGGCUCCGCAAACCAGUUGUAAACCAUAGCGAGCAUGCCCUCGGGCGGCCGCAAGGCUGCCCGGGGGUAAUAAGGAUAACCCUGGUAAUUCUGAGGCUAAUACAAGAACGUAAAACCCGAUCGACCGGCAACGGAAGGUUGGGGGACGUGCGAUCAGUCGCAAAAUUUACUGGGAAUAGGUGCACGUUCAGACCACCAUACCAAACAGUAUCGCCUACUUCGGGAAGCGUGUCUGGGUGGCUCUCGCGUUGUGCUUCUGACCUAUCAACUAGAUGGCAGCGUAAGGGACAUGCUAUGGUUACAACGGGUACAGAGGAUAAGGGUUCGAUCCUGGAGAGUGGGCCUGAGAGAUUGCUCACACUUCUAAGGAAGGCAGCAGGCGCGCAACGUUCCCCUUGGGCAAUGCUCGAGGGCGUUAGGGGACAUAUGAAUGCCUGCCAAUUGGUGGGCAAUUCAAAUGGGUCUGUUCUAAACAGCCUCUCGAGUAACAAUUAGAGGACAA